UACAGAGGUCCCAAGCGUUGUUCGGAUUCACUGGGCGUAAAGGGUGCGCAGGUGGUUUGGCAAGUUUGACGUGAAAGCCCCGGGCUUAACCCGGGAAUGGCGUUGAAAACUGCUUGAACUGGAGGGUCGGGAGGGGGGGACUGGAAUUCUUGGUGUAGCAGUGAAAUGCGUAGAUAUCAAAGAGGAACACCAGUGGCGAAGGCGAGUCCCUGGACGAUACCUGACACUGAGGCACGAAAGCCAAGGGAGCAAACAGG
rnacentral:rRNA from 1 species